rnacentral:rRNA from 1 species
AGUGAACGCUGGCGGCAGGCCUAAUACAUGCAAGUCGAACGGCAGCACAGCAGAGCUUGCUCUGUGGGUGGCGAGUGGCGGACGGGUGAGGAAUACGUGGGAAUCUGCCCAGUCGUGGGGGAUAACGUAGGGAAACUUACGCUAAUACCGCAUGCGCCCUUCGGGGGAAAGCCGGGGACCUUCGGGCCUGGCGCGAUUGGAUGAGCCCACGUCGGAUUAGCUAGUUGGCGGGUAAAGGCCCACCAAGGCGACGAUCCGUAGCUGGUCUGAGAGGAUGAUCAGCCACACUGGAACUGAGACACGGUCCAGACUCCUACGGGAGCAGCAGUAGGGAAUAUUGGGACAAUGGGGCGCAAGCCUGAUCCAGCCAUGCCGCGUGAGUGAAGAAGGCCCUCGGGUUGUAAAGCUCUUUUGUCCGGUAAGAAAAGCGCCGGGUUAAUACCCUAGGUGUCCUGACGGUACC